ensembl:lncRNA
UCUUACCGUUCUGGAGGUCAGAAAUCGAGGAGAGGCUCACGGGCCUAAGGUCAGGUGGUCGGCAGGGCUGGACUUCUUCCUGGACCCUCCAGAGGAGAAUCCGUCAUCCCUGGACAUUUUCCAGCUUCUGGAGGCUGCCUGCACCCUGGGACUCUUGACCCCGCUAUCCUGCAAGGCUGACGCCAGCUGUAGACCCUAGACACUAACUCCUCCUCGCCUCCCGCUUCCUCUCUUAAAGAUUCUACUGGGUCCACCUGACUCACAGGGAAUCGCCUCCGCUACGGACCUCUGAUUAGGAAGCACUUUCACCUGCGACCUGAGUUACCCUCUGCCAUGAAACACGUUUCCUUCUGAGGCUUAAUACAGGGAUGUCCUCGGCCUACUGUGACCAGGGAGCCCAUGAGUGAGUGAGUGACCCGCAGACUGGCCUGGCAGGCUGACUGCUGGUUCUCCCACAAGCAGCCGGUCUCCAGGAGAGUCACUGGAGGACAGCGCAGUGCUCAGCUUCCCCGACUUACCCCUCAGCCCCUCUGGACUUUGCUUGCCUUGUCUAUCACUUGAGGAUAAUAAUAGGAGUGCCUAUUUUACAGGGUGAUUAUAAAUGCGAUGUGAGAAAAAUAAAUCAGGGUCUGAAAGAGAGCAAGCAAUGCAAUAGAAAGGCAUCGAAAGAACAAAAACGGAAGAAGGAAGAGGGAAGGAGGGGCAGGGAGAGAAGAGCCUGUGCUCCCUGGUGUGUGCGUGUGCGCUCAGUUGCAUCAGUCGUGUCCGACUCUUUGCAACCCUCUGGACUGUAGCCCACCAGCCUCCUCUGUCCAUGGGAUUCUCCAGGCAAGAACACUGGAGUGGGUAGCCAUUCCCUUCUCCAGGGGAUCUUCCGACCCAGGGAUUGAACCUGGGUCUCCUGCAUUGCAGGUGGAUUCCUCACCGCUCAGCCACCUGGGAAGCCUGUGCUCCAUGGUACUAAGGAACUAAGUCUGGAGACAGAGCAUUUUAGAGAUGAAAGUAUCUUGGCAAUCAUCAAGUGGGAAAGAAAGGCAGAGAGCAGAAACAAUGUCAUGUUUCAACUAUGGCAAAAAUAAGAUGAGUAAUCAGCAUCGGAUUAGAAGCCAUGAGACCCCUCUCUUCAGCACCACCCCACCCUGGAUCAGGACUGUGAUGAUGAGCAAGGAUGUUCUGUAUCUAGAAGAAGAUGGGGGUUUGCCCAACCACUUGCUUCCAGCACUGGCUGUGGCUUCUCCACAUCACUAACCCCAAGGAGGCUGCCAAGGAAUUAGAGCCACUCCUCCCAAGACACGGCUUUCAACCACUGAAUUGUUGGCUUGGGGCUGCGGAAAUGGCCGUUUGCCAAAGGACACAUGUUACCACCACCAGGACAAUCUCGUCAGGCCGUGAGGACAGUGGGCCCACGGCUCCCACUGCGUCAAGCCCAUUACUUCUGGGACUUCCUGACAACGCGGCAGCCCAGUCAGCUCCCCUGUUAUGUACUUGCCGAAGGUCAAUCCACUUAUCCGUGCAGACCCCAGUGACUUCUCACAGAUUAGUAUUUAUGAGUCUGAUAUCCUGUCC